GAUGAACGCUGGCGGCGUGCCUAAUACAUGCAAGUCGAGCGAACAGACGAGGAGCUUGCUCCUCUGACGUUAGCGGCGGACGGGUGAGUAACACGUGGAUAACCUACCUAUAAGACUGGGAUAACUUCGGGAAACCGGAGCUAAUACCGGAUAAUAUAUUGAACCGCAUGGUUCAAUAGUGAAAGACGGUUUUGCUGUCACUUAUAGAUGGAUCCGCGCCGCAUUGGCUAGUUGGUAAGGUAACGGCUUACCAAGGCAACGAUGCGUAGCCGACCUGAGAGGGUGGUCGGCCACACGGGAACUGAGACACGGUCCAGACUCCUACGGGAGGCAGCAGUAGGGAAUCUUCCGCAAUGGGCGAAAGCCUGACGGAGCAACGCCGCGUGAGUGAUGAAGGUCUUCGGAUCGUAAAACUCUGUUAUUAGGGAAGAACAAAUGUGUAAGUAACUAUGCACGUCUUGACGGUACCUAAUCAGAAAGCCACGGCUAACUACGUG
rnacentral:rRNA from 1 species